GAGAGACAAUGCAACAUUGAUCCAAAUAGUGUAUGAGGAGCACAAAUCAUUGAUCUGCUCAAGAAAAGAUGAAUAUGCAAACACAUAAAAUGCCCCUUGUUCUCUACUGAGAGGUACGUGAUUUGGAUACUCUGAAAAGUUCAUCAGAUUGUGCUAAAAGGUCUGUGUUGCCUAUGAGGGACUGACAAUCUAUCUACAUUUGGACUGAUUAGUAGAUAUACCUUCUUUUUCAUCAUGUGUUACCCAGACUAGGAUCAUGAUCUAAUCAUACUUCCAGUAUGUCUCAUGGGGCAAAUUGAAUUCGUGCAUAGGUCUGAAACAGAGCUUUUCAUCCAGCCACUUGUGUGUGAAAGUAAUGCAAGAAGGCAUGCCGGCAAGCCAAAGUCAAAAGGUGUUGUGAGGCCAACAGAAAGGUGCAGAAAUCAUGUGUGGCAGUGCCCAGUGUGGCUGGUUUAUGGUAAUCUCUCUCCUAUUCACUUCUGCUUCUGGUGGGAGGGGAGAGAACGAAAAAGAGCAAGAAGCAGGGUACGUAGAGCAUGCAGAGCUCAAGUUGGGUGUUGUGCUCGCUUAUAGGAAUUUAAGUGACCACAAAAUGCAUGAGAUUUCCUUGCUUAGAGACACAAAUAAAUUGGAAGUAAGAGUGAUCCAAAUUUAGCGAAGGGACCUCUCCAACUUUAGUGAGCCAAUGGUUUCAAGCGGCCUUGUAUAUUUGGUUUUUUCUCUUCUCUUCCACCAUUCUCCAUCACAGGAUGAGUUGUAAGAUGCUGUGUUGCUUAACAAGCAAGAUCUUCUUAAUGCAAUGAAAGCUGCGGAGAUCACUUAUAAGCUUGGCCUUCUCUCUCUCUGCCAACGUCAUUGGUACAUCCAGAGUACUUGUGCAACCUCUGGAGAGGGCCUUUUUGAGGGGUUGAACUGGCUCUCCAACAACAUUGCUAACAAGGC